AUGAAGAACGUAGCGAAAUGCGAUAAGUAAUGUGAAUUGCAGAAUUCAGUGAAUCAUCGAAUCUUUGAACGCACAUUGCGCCCGCCAGUAUUCUGGCGGGCAUGCCUGUUCGAGCGUCAUUUCAACCAUCAAGCCCCGGGCUUGUGUUGGGGACCUGCGGCUGCCGCAGGCCCUGAAAUGCAGUGGCGGGCUCGCUGUCACUCCGAGCGUAGUAGUUACAUCUCGCUCUGGGCGUGCUGCGGGUUCCGGCCGUUAAAAGCCUUAUUUACCCAAGGUUGACCUCGGAUCAGGUAGGAAGACCCGCUGAACUUAAGCAUAUCAAUAAGCGGAGGA
rnacentral:misc_RNA from 1 species